GAGACGAUGAAUCAUGAGAACAUUGGUGCUAAGGAACCCCUUAUCGAAAGUCGAGAGGUUAGGGACCAGGCAGUGGGAUUUAUCGAGGCGUGGAAGAUUCCUGGUGUUGCACCAUUUGCGUUUUGUCUGUUUUUCUGCAAGUUGGUGGCUUAUACCUUCCUCUACUGGCUACCCUACUACAUCAGCCACACAGCUAUUGAUGGAAAGUAUAUGUCAAAUUCAACGGCGGGAUCUUUAUCGACUCUCUUUGAUGUUGGAGGCGUCCUCGGUGGCAUUCUAGCAGGUCACAUCUCCGAUCGUCUCGAUGCUCGAGCGAUCACCGCCGCCACCUUCAUGUACUGUUCGAUCCCCGCCCUCUUCCUCUACAACGUAUAUGGCAGCGUCUCCUUGUCCUGGAACAUCGUCCUCAUGUUCAUCACCGGUAUGUUCGUGAACGGCCCCUAUGCACUGAUAACGACUGCAGUCUCAGCAGACCUCGGUACCCACAGUUCUCUGAAUGGUAACUCGAGAGCCCUGGCGACAGUGACGGCAAUCAUUGAUGGGACAGGGUCUGCUGGUGCAGCUCUUGGGCCGCUGCUGACAGGGUAUAUCUCCGCUAGGAGCUGGGGCGCGGUGUUCCAGAUGCUGAUGGUGUCUGCGCUUGUGGCUGGUCUGCUCCUGACGAGGCUCGUGGUGGCAGAGGUGUCGUCGAAGAUCGAGGAGAGGUCUCGAAGGCAAGCGAGCAGUAGCCCUAGGUCAUCGACGGUGGCUUGAGAAGUAUGAUGGAUGCAUAUAUCGCCAUUGCGAUAGUCUGUUUGAAUGUGUGUACAGAUUAGGGUACGAGGGUUUCGGAUAUUCAAAAUGGUUAGUGUUGUUUGGAGAUUUGUAUUUUGUG
rnacentral:misc_RNA from 1 species